rnacentral:rRNA from 1 species
AUGAACGCUAGCUACAGGCUUAACACAUGCAAGUCGAGGGGCAGCAUGGUCUUAGCUUGCUAAGGCCGAUGGCGACCGGCGCACGGGUGAGUAACACGUAUCCAACCUGCCGUCUACUCUUGGACAGCCUUCUGAAAGGAAGAUUAAUACAAGAUGGCAUCAUGAGUCCGCAUGUUCACAUGAUUAAAGGUAUUCCGGUAGACGAUGGGGAUGCGUUCCAUUAGAUAGUAGGCGGGGUAACGGCCCACCUAGUCUUCGAUGGAUAGGGGUUCUGAGAGGAAGGUCCCCCACAUUGGAACUGAGACACGGUCCAAACUCCUACGGGAGGCAGCAGUGAGGAAUAUUGGUCAAUGGGCGAGAGCCUGAACCAGCCAAGUAGCGUGAAGGAUGACUGCCCUAUGGGUUGUAAACUUCUUUUAUAAAGGAAUAAAGUCGGGUAUGGAUACCCGUUUGCAUGUACUUUAUGAAUAAGGAUCGGCUAACUCCGUGCCAGCAGCCGCGGUAAUACGGAGGAUCCGAGCGUUAUCCGGAUUUAUUGGGUUUAAAGGGAGCGUAGAUGGAUGUUUAAGUCAGUUGUGAAAGUUUGCGGCUCAACCGUAAAAUUGCAGUUGAUACUGGAUAUCUUGAGUGCAGUUGAGGCAGGCGGAAUUCGUGGUGUAGCGGUGAAAUGCUUAGAUAUCACGAAGAACUCCGAUUGCGAAGGCAGCCUGCUAAGCUGCAACUGACAUUGAGGCUCGAAAGUGUGGGUAUCAAACAGGAUUAGAUACCCUGGUAGUCCACACGGUAAACGAUGAAUACUCGCUGUUUGCGAUAUACUGCAAGCGGCCAAGCGAAAGCGUUAAGUAUUCCACCUGGGGAGUACGCCGGCAACGGUGAAACUCAAAGGAAUUGACGGGGGCCCGCACAAGCGGUGGAGUAUGUGGUUUAAUUCGACGCAACGCGAAGAACCUUACCAGGUCUUGACAUCGGAUGCAUACCUAAGAGAUUAGGGAAGUCCUUCGGGACAUCCAGACAGGUGGUGCAUGGUUGUCGUCAGCUCGUGUCGUGAGAUGUUGGGUUAAGUCCCGCAACGAGCGCAACCCUUGUUGUCAGUUACUAACAGGUUCCGCUGAGGACUCUGACAAGACUGCCAUCGUAAGAUGUGAGGAAGGUGGGGAUGACGUCAAAUCAGCACGGCCCUUACGUCCGGGGCUACACACGUGUUACAAUGGGGGGUACAGAGGGCCGCUACCACGCGAGUGGAUGCCAAUCCCCAAAACCUCUCUCAGUUCGGACUGGAGUCUGCAACCCGACUCCACGAAGCUGGAUUCGCUAGUAAUCGCGCAUCAGCCACGGCGCGGUGAAUACGUUCCCGGGCCUUGUACACACCGCCCGUCAAGCCAUGGGAGCCGGGGGUACCUGAAGUGCGUAACCGCGAGGAGCGCCCUAGGGUAAAACUGGUGACUGGGGCU